GUCUACAGCCAUACCACCCUGAACACACCUUGAUCUUGUCUGAUCUCAGAAGCUAAGUAGGGUCGGGCCUGUUUAGUACUUGGGAUGGGAGAUA
rnacentral:rRNA from 1 species